GAUGAUUCUGAAGAACGCAUCAUACACGGCCGGAUUUGAGGCCGGCUUCGAGACUAUGCUCAAUUCAGGUUUAAAUGGACGUCCUUCUCGGAAGUAAAUUGUUUCUUUUAAUACAAUGGACAUGAGUCUUCAAUGAAUUUUGCAUGCCAUUCAGUGUAAAAUCGAUCAAAUUAUAAUCAUGUUUUCCAUUGACCUAUGUUGUCGACUUCAUGCUUGCUCAAUUAUUUCACAAAGGAAGCGAGAUCAAAUUUGUCAAUUGAGGUAAAACCAUACCUCCCUACAACCUCUGUAGAUGAGAAACACCAAACAGGCGUUGGAAAACACUGUUUAAAGUUAUUCUCCCUGUUGAUCAUAAACUUUAAACAUUGAAUUAAGCAUUACAU
rnacentral:lncRNA from 1 species